rnacentral:rRNA from 1 species
CCUACGGGAGGCAGCAGUGAGGAAUAUUGGUCAAUGGACGAGAGUCUGAACCAGCCACGUAGCGUGAAGGAUGACUGCCCUAUGGGUUGUAAACUUCUUUUAUAUGGGAAUAAAAUGUUCCACGUGUGGGAUUUUGUAUGUACCAUAUGAAUAAGGAUCGGCUAACUCCGUGCCAGCAGCAGCGGUAAUACGGAGGAUCCGAGCGUUAUCCGGAUUUAUUGGGUUUAAAGGGAGCGUAGGUGGAUUGUUAAGUCAGUUGUGAAAGUUUGCGGCUCAACCGUAAAAUUGCAGUUGAAACUGGCAGUCUUGAGUACAGUAGAGGUGGGCGGAAUUCGUGGUGUAGCGGUGAAAUGCUUAGAUAUCACGAAGAACUCCGAUUGCGAAGGCAGUUCACUGGACUGCAACUGACACUGAGGCUCGAAAGUGUGGGUAUCAAACAGGAUUAGAUACCCCAGUAGUC